rnacentral:rRNA from 1 species
GGGAAUUUUCCGCAAUGGGCGAAAGCCUGACGGAGCAAUACCGCGUGAGGGAGGAAGGCUCUUGGGUUGUAAACCUCUUUUCUCAGGGAAGAAAAAAAUGACGGUACCUGAGGAAUAAGCAUCGGCUAACUCCGUGCCAGCAGCCGCGGUAAUACGGAGGAUGCAAGCGUUAUCCGGAAUGAUUGGGCGUAAAGGGUCCGCAGGUGGCAUUGUAAGUCUGCUGUUAAAGAGUCACGCUCAACGUGAUAAAGGCGGUGGAAACUACAAAGCUAGAGUGUGGUCGGGGCAGAAGGAAUUCCUGGUGUAGCGGUGAAAUGCGUAGAUAUCAGGAAGAACACCGGUGGCGAAGGCGUUCUGCUAGGCCAAAACUGACACUGAGGGACGAAAGCUAGGGGAGCGAAUGGGAUUAGAUACCCCAGUAGUC